CAGCAGGUGAGGUGUGCACAAGAUGGAAAACUCUUACUGCUUCCUUCAGCCGAAGGUAAGAGUAAACAUCAACACCAGGACAUCAAAAACGAUGAUACCGCAGGCAGAUCCCACAGUUUCUUCCGGGGCCGUUGCAUUUAAACCUUGUAGACUCUUCCCAGGCGCUGGGCAUACUUUCCCAUUUUACCUCUGAUACUGACUCCGAACACCUGUGGGGAUGAAAGCGACGUCUAUCCUGAAGCACGAAGACAGCAGCGGGGCCCGGGGAGGUCUGUGCACCCAGGCUGCAGACGCAGCAGGUGCGGUAGGAGACGCGGCAGCGCGGGGGUGCGGGGCGGGGCCGUUGGAUGCGGUGGGUGCGAGCGGCUGCUGAAAGGCGGACGGUCUAGGCGGCGAACUCGUGGAUUCAGGUGAGGCGGGGGAGGGGGGGGUGAGUCGCCUGAAGUCUUUUGGGAAGCGGUUUGGAGGAAUGGCGAGGGUUGAGUGGCGAUCAAGUUGGUGACCCUGUGCGUCUGAGGCCGCUAGCCGGUCCUCCCCCCAAACCCCCCGCGGGGGUCCUAGGAUUCUGAGUGUGGGUCUUCCGGGGGAGCUCCGUCUGGUGCAUUCUGGCUGCUCUUGCCCCCUGCGGGUCCCUCGAGCGUGGGGGACUCAGCUGCACGAAUGCUGUGGGUCGGGACCGGGGCUGGCGCUUUCCCGCGACGUCUCCCAGUCCCGGACUGAUGCCGGCUCUUCCGUGGCGUCACCCGGUUCUCCUCCUGCCUUCUCGGGCCGCACUGCCACUUCCCUUGUGCCCGCGCUGGUGACCGGGAGUCGCCGAGCUCAGAGUUGGCGGACGCCUAUCACCGGCCUCCUGCUGGUUUUCUUUCCUUAGCAGCAAAAUUGCGAUGGUCCCGAGAGCCUUUCCGGAAACCCUGGGGCUCGCGCCCUCCCCUCUCCCACGGGCCUAACCUUGGGCCGAGAGUCCCAGAAUCACUCGCCCAAACCCAGGGCUUGUGCGCAGUGUGGCAUCGAGAGGCUGCUUUUGAAGAGACGUUCCGCGGAUGGAGCGUGGAUGCUGUAUUGCAGGUGAGACCACCUGGCUCUGGCAGGCCAGCGGGCAAGCCGGCACCGGAGGUUCUCGCAGGCUUCCUUCCCUGGUGUUUCACUCCAAGAAGUCCAGGAAUUUUAAGUCCAUUCCUGUCAUCCUGGGUAACCUAAUGGUAGACUUCUCAAAGUAAGAGAAUACAGGCUAUUUCAUUUUCGAUUGCAAAGUCUUUUUGGUGUUCGUUUGUAUGUUUUUCCUUAAGCUGGUCGGGAUCUUUGAGAGAGAGAGAGAGAGAGAGAGAGAGCCUAAAGGUAGAUGGCAACCUUACCACUAACAUUUGCAGGUGCCAGUGCAAAGAGUAAAAAAGAGAGGCAACAAAGCUCCUUAGGCUGCUGGGUGGAUUGCCAGGGUAGCUUAUUUUGUCUUCUAUUCGUGGUCCUCGAGGGCCAGGAACAAGGAAAUCGACUUCUCAGUCCCAGGCUCGCGCUAGAAGGAUUAUAGCAGGUCCUCACUACAAUAAGGUGGGAUUCCCAAGGUCUAACUAAGCCCUUGGGGGUAGGGGUGAUCAUAUCUAGUCCUGCCCCUUCCGGUCCCAGGGCUCUUUGGACAAGGCGGCCUUGGCGCUACAAAUAAUAUAAGGAAAAGGAAUGUUGAAAAAGCCCUUGAGAAUAAAUAAAUAAGGAAGGAAGCCCA
rnacentral:lncRNA from 12 species